rnacentral:rRNA from 1 species
UACAGAGGGUGCAAGCGUUGUUCGGAAUUAUUGGGCGUAAAGGGCGCGUAGGCGGUGCGGUAAGUCUGUAGUGAAAUCUCUGGGCUCAACUCAGAGUCUGCUGCAGAAACUGCCGUGCUUGAGUGUGGGAGAGGUGAGUGGAAUUCCCGGUGUAGCGGUGAAAUGCGUAGAUAUCAUGAGGAAUACCAGAGGCGAAGGCGGCUACCUGGACAAUUGCUGACGCUCAGGCACGAAAGCGUGGGGAGCAAACAGG